rnacentral:rRNA from 1 species
AACGAACGCUGGCGGCAGGCUUAACACAUGCAAGUCGAGCGCCCCGCAAGGGGAGCGGCAGACGGGUGAGUAACGCGUGGGAAUCUACCCAUCUCUACGGAAUAACGCAUGGAAACGUGUGCUAAUACCGUAUACGUCCUUCGGGAGAAAGAUUUAUCGGAGAUGGAUGAGCCCGCGUUGGAUUAGCUAGUUGGUGGGGUAAAGGCCUACCAAGGCGACGAUCCAUAGCUGGUCUGAGAGGAUGAUCAGCCACACUGGGACUGAGACACGGCCCAGACUCCUACGAGAGGCAGCAGUGGGGAAGAUUGGACAAUGGGCGCAAGCCUGAUCCAGCCAUGCCGCGUGAGUGAUGAAGGCCCUAGGGUUGUAGAGCUCUUUCACCGGUGAAGAUAAUGACGGUAACCGGAGAAGAAGCCCCGGCUAACUUCGUGCCAGCCGCCGCGGUAAUAC